UAAGUUAGAAGUUGAAAGUGAAUAGCACACUGUCCCAACGCGCCAAGCCUGAAAAGGAAGGUGUAAAGAGAUGUGGGGGUGAUAGUCCCACCUAACUUU
rnacentral:ncRNA from 1 species